AGCGUUUGACAUCCCGGUCGCGGGAUCCAGAGAUGGAUCCCUUCAGUUCGGCUGGACCGGUGACAGGUGCUGCAUGGCUGUCGUCAGCUCGUGUCGUGAGAUGUUGGGUUAAGUCCCGCAACGAGCGCAACCCUCGUCCUUAGUUGCUACCAUUUAGUUGGGCACUCUAAGGAAACCGCCGGUGAUAAGCCGGAGGAAGGUGGGGAUGACGUGUGCGUAACAGAA
rnacentral:misc_RNA from 1 species